CAACCAAGCAUGGCAUAGGGUUUACGAAUGAGCCUAAAGAAAAGGUUGAAGCUAAACCCCAACAACCUAAGGCUCAACCUAGGACUAAUAAUAAAAAUGUUUAUCCUAGAAAUAGCAAUCCUAGAACCAAUAUGCAUGCUAGACCAAGUGUUGAACAUUUUAGAAGACCUAGAAAUGACUUACCACUUAGAAAUAACUACCCUAGAAAUGAUGCAUAUUAUAGGCCAAAUACUAG
rnacentral:lncRNA from 1 species